rnacentral:lncRNA from 1 species
AACUGUAGCUGCAUGGCCCUUGUCCCAACAGCCAUCAACUCUAACAAAUCUCAUGCGCUGAAGAGAGUGGUUGUUGUAGGUGUCAAUGUAUGAUAGUCUACAAACAACCUCCUCCUCAAAACUCACUUCAGACUCCCUAAAAAUCACAGUGAGAGUCAUGCCAUAUGGCAAGGGAGCCUUGGAUCUGCUCAAGGCUUCCUUCAUGACAUCAAUCAUCAGG